rnacentral:sRNA from 1 species
UGCCGAAGUCUGCACUGUAGUGGGCGCUGGAUUCCAGCUUCUUGGCGUCAGUAUAAUGCGGCGCACCUUCAUGAAGUCCUCAUGGACAACGUAGUCCCGUUCAGCACGAAUUGCAGCCAUACCCGCUUCAGUGCAGACGUUGCGAAGAUCAGCCCCAUUGAAUCACCUCAGCCAGUUUAACAACUGCCUCAUAAUCAAUUUCUCCAUGCUUGGCAAUACCAGCAGCAUGGAUUUUAAGAACUUCCAUUCUUGCUUGCUCAUUUGGUAGCGGAAUCUCAAUCUUCCUGUCUAGACGUCCAGGACGCAGUAGCGCAGGGUCCAGAACAUCAGGUCUAUUGGUAGCCAUGAUCAUUUUCACCUUUACCUUUCCAAGUUCAUCAAAUCCAUCUAACUGAUUUAGCAGUUCCAUCAGUGUGCGCUGGAUCUCGCGAUCAGCACUAGUUCCUUCACUGAACCGCCGCCCACCAAUGGCAUCGAUUUCGUCCAUGAAGAUUAUGCAUGGCUAGACUUACUUGAUGAUCACGUGCAUAGCCAAACAUUUCCCUAAUCAAGCGGGCACUCUCUCCAAUAUGGCUACUACCUAUUAAGUGAGCAAACGACACACCUUCAAAAAGUUGGCAUCGAUGUUACUGGCAAUAGCCCUCGCCAAUAGUGUCUUACCAGUUCCUGGUGGACCAUAGAGAUUUACCUUGGGGGGCUUGAUCCCAACACGAAGAAAGAGCUCAGGGUUCAUUAAGGGCAAUUCGAUGGACUCCCUGAGCUCUCUAAUCUGAUCAGACAGACCACCAACAGCAGAGUAACUGACAUUACCAGGGUCUUCAUGAAGCAUGUUGUAAACCACAGGGUCCACCUCACGUGGAAGUGUGCGCAUGAUUGUCAGUGUUGUCAUGUCAAGAACAACACGAGUUCCCGAAGUCAAUUUCUCCUUGUCCACUUUGCUCCGGCAACCAACCACAUAUCUGGGACCACUGCUAGCCUUAACAAUAACUUGAAGAAAUAGGCGGCGGAGAACCUCUCCGAUGAUCUGCCCAACACUUUGCAGGGAUUUUAAGUCAUCUUCGGUCUUUGUAAAGUCCUUCUUAGCAUUUUUUAGCGGGCGGCUCACCGGUGCUGACGCGCGACUCGAGCUCCCUGCAGUUGAGCAGCUUCUUCCGGUACUCCGUCACGGAGGCGCGGCGGCGGGCGGCGGCGGCGUCCUCCCCGUCGGCCAUCUCCGGCG